UGGGGAAUAUUGCGCAAUGGGCGAAAGCCUGACGCAGCGACGCCGCGUGAGGGAUGAAGGUGUUCGGAUCGUAAACCUCUGUCAGAAGGGAAGAAACCGCACUGUGCUAAUCAGCAGUGCCUUGACGGUACCUUCAAAGGAAGCACCGGCUAACUCCGUGCCAGCAGCCGCGGUAAUACGGAGGGUGCAAGCGUUAAUCGGAAUUACUGGGCGUAAAGCGCACGUAGGCUGCUUUGUAAGUCAGGGGUGAAAUCCCACGGCUCAACCGUGGAACUGCCUUUGAUACUGCUUAGCUUGAAUCCGGGAGAGGGGGGCGGAAUUCCAGGUGUAGGAGUGAAAUCCGUAGAUAUCUGGAGGAACAUCAGUGGCGAAGGCGGCCACCUGGACCGGUAUUGACGCUGAGGUGCGAAAGCGUGGGGAGCAAACAGG
rnacentral:rRNA from 1 species